CUUCAGGUUUGGGAGUUUGCAUCACUUAUUUCAACAAUAGGUCGAAGUCCUGUAAUAUGAUUGUAAAGAGAGCGAAACUGUUUGAGGAUAUUUUUCCAAAACUGACUGUAUUGUUUGAAAAUGAUUUAGACAUUAUUUUAAUCAGUUGUAUUAAUUUUUUGAUGGCUGGAGCAGGAACCACAAAACAAAACGCCCGAAAUUGAAAGGUUUUGAUCCCACCAUAUAAAAGAAAAGAAUUAAACUAUCAAGACAUCUACAUGCCAGGAGGAGUACAGAAAACAUCUGCUGAGGUUGCAGCUGUCUUUUCACUUUUCUCAUAUGGUUGACUGACAUCAGAAAAUAAUUAUGGCUUAAUAACUUAAUUCUCAUGGCAUGGUGGUCAUUAUACAAGACUUUGAUGGUUUUAUAUUUUGCCAAUUGAUUUACGUACUUUCAUUUUUCAAAAGAACACUGUGGAACCAACUAAACUGAAUGCUUUUAAGAGCUCAAUUAAAGGCUCACAAAAGACACAUGUCAAAAUUCAGGAGGUUAAAUGUAGGUCCUAAGUGACUCUUACUGUGCUACAUAAUAGGAAAAGAAAAUAGCUGUGAACAGUCAAGGUCUGUGGGAUCUCAUAUCGAGGAAAUAAUAGUAUAGAGGAAACCAGAACCCUUUAAAAAGAGAGUUCUGACAACGGAAGUCCAAAAAGCUUGGCUGUAACAUGAUUCAUGAAGAUUUCAGUUAGUUCCUGGAAGGUCCUAGUUGAGCCAUUUAAAUAGAUUGGGUUAUAGGCAAAGAGCUGUGAUUUUUCUUUAUUAAUAGUCAAGAAAUGCAUUGAUUAACUUUAAUUUACAUUAAAAGGCUGUUCCCAUAGUAUUUUGGAGCAGAGAGGUGGUUGAGUUUCUUGCCAGUGUCUUGCUUUACCUUUCUACUUUGCUACUUUGAGAAGAAAGCUCUGGAGGAAAGACCAAAGUCAAAGUGAGUUUGCAUUUACUUUAGGAUUGGGCAGAGAGAACUUGCUGAUGAAGCUUCUACAUAUUUGCCCAUUUGUUUUGUAUAUUUUAACAUUUUAAAGACAUUAUGAGGCAUGCUUUAUCAUGCAAAUCUGCAGUUUAUGUCAAGGUUAUGGGUAUUAUUCCCAUGACCUUGACACAAACUGAUAAAAUGUACUUUUAAUGCACUGCUAUUCACACUGAUAAAAGCAUCUGCCAAAUGCAAAUGCAUUUAAAUGGUAUUUUCAAUAACCUAACAAAUCCACUUGGUAAUCUGUCAUUAUCAUGUCAUUCAUUUUUCAUUUUCUUGCUGUUCCAAAGAUGAGAAUGUAAUCGAGAGGCAGAUAAAGGCAGAAAUGGGUGCUAAGAUUAAUCUGGCACAACAACAACUUGCCCUCAGUUACUCUACUAUGCUGAUGGGGAAGUGUCCAUAUGGCACUUUUUUAAGAGAAACGUAUGGCUGGUGUCAGGUCAGAACAGCUACGAAUACCAUGCCUAUAAGAGUGCUUUUAAUUUAUGUUCAUCUCUGCUGAGUAAUAGAUGCAAUCGAUAGAAAUAUGGCUGAUAAAUAAUGAGUCUGAUUUAUGUAAACCGGAGUGGAGUGUCAUACAUUCACAUUACAGACAGUAAUUUAUAAGCCAUGGUAGUUGUUAUAUGGAGCAAUGGCUCAGACUUCAAAGUCAAAAGGUCAAUUACAAAAAAGCUGCUUUUUUGUGUGGUAAGAUCACUAAUGCCCCACGAUUGGUCACAUAAGAUCAUUGUGUGUUUAAGGAACUGUGACCUUUUAACAUUGGAGAUGGUCAUUAACUUCUAAUAGCCUAGACUUGAAGGUAUUUGUCCACACAGAAAUUAACUUUCAAAAAUAAACCUAUGCAAAAUAUUUAUACUAGGUGUGACAGCAUGCCCCAUUCUCCUGUAUAUGUAUGGAUAAAAUUACCUUUCUAUAUUUAGGGGAAUGUUAGUAGGCACCACCUGCCUCAUACAAGAGGUUCAUAUGUCUUCUUUAUCAUAUGAUCCGUGCGUUUUCUGUCUCUCAGUGUCUUCAUAGCUUUGGCUGUUUUGCUGCAUGGGUGACCUUUGAGAAGCAGGACCUGGAGGGAAUCCAGAUUGAAUUGGAAGAAUCUGAUGAAAAGAAAUCAGAAAAAUCAGUCAAAAUCAGGGUCAAUCUAAGGUUAUGUGCUCCAGACUAAGGGCACUGAAUGACAGGUCAACAGGAAGUCAAACCGGCGCCCACCACUGAAGAGUUUCUUGACCCAUAGUUCCCCUCUGAUGGCCUCUCUGCUGCCCCCCUUUAAGAAAAGUCAUCUCACCUGUUUGGGAACUUCAGAUGUCUUAAACAGGUUUAAUGUCACAAAAAUACUGUAGUGUGACUCUGACAGAGGACCUGGACCAGCAACUAGCGUCUCCUUGCUAUUGCAUGGUUGCAUUGCUAAAAAGUUUCACUUUUACUUUCAAGCAUUUCAUAUUUGCUAGAUAUUCUUAAACUGAAAUUCAGCUUUAUCUCUCUGAUCUACGAGAUAACAGAAUGUAAAUCUAAUAACUGACAUUUGUCUACUUUGUUUCUUUGUGUUUUUUAUCUGUCGUUUCGGUCUUUCACUAUUUGCCAAAUGUUUGGACACAUUUUUUUCUGUAUGCUCUUUUUCUAAUCAUUAUUCACUACAUAUACUGUAAAUCAUUUAUUGUAAACAAUUAUAUAAUACAACUGAGCAUGUGAAAAAAUAGGUAAUUAAUAUUUGGCUCCCUUUGUGAUGUCAGAAAGGGAUAAUACCCGCCUUAAUCUGCACUAUCCGACCACAGCACUAUCCGACCACAGCACAUUACUGGGUAUUGCUGGCAUCUAGCUGCCAGUAACUUUACUGUAGAUUUUACAUUUAUGUUGUUUACUGGCAACAGUUAUUUUAAAGUUAAAUGAACAUGAAACAUUUUCAGUCUUUAUCUUCUACAGUAUGUUACUGGCAACCAGCUGCAUAAUUAUAGCAAUUUUUGUACAGUGUGCUAAAUCAGUUUCUUUUUACCUUUUAGCUUUGGAAUUCGUGGAAAGCUUUGAGUCACUUCAGCCAAGCCUGAUGCUUAAGGAAAGUCAGGGUAAAGCAUAAAUGGAGGAUGAUGAAGACAAGGGUGAAAACAGCUCUGUUGCAAACAAUGACUUGCAUCUACAAAUAUCAAGUAGCAAAACCUCUGUCACAACCCAAAGAUCGAUGACCACAGACACGCACAGUAACUCUAGUCGAAUUGGUCUCCAGAGUGAGGCAGUGACCUCAGACACAGAAUGAUUAACCUAAAUACUUGUGUGUUAAAGUCGUUUACUUAAAACCAAUGCAUUGAACAAUCUUGUGGUUUUUAUCGUGUGAUUUUCAUUCAGUUAUUAAUUUUGUUGCCCUAGUUAUUGUGUGGUAUGCUAUGCAAUGUGGUGAUGAGGAUAUAAAGUGAAAAAGUUAAUAACUAGAUAACAUUUUUGUCACAUCAAUGCCACAUUAAAUAUUUGACUUGAAUUUAUUUCUACAAUUUAUUUUACAAUUUCAUUUUUUUCUUCAUUUAUGUAUGUAUGUAUGU